UACGUAGGCAGCAAACGUUGUUCGGAGUUACUGGGCGUAAAGAGUACGUAGGCGGUUUGCCAAGUUUGACGUGAAAGCUCCCGGCUUAACUGGGAGAGGUCGUUGAAUACUGGAAGACUUGAGGCAAUGAGAGGGGUGUAGAAUUCCCGGUGUAGUGGUGGAAUGCGUAGAUAUCGGGGGGAAUACCAGUGGCGAAAGCGGCACCCUAGCGUUAGCCUGACGCUCAUGUGCGAAAGCGUGGGGAGCGAACGGG
rnacentral:rRNA from 1 species